GAUGAAGAACGUAGCGAAAUGCGAUAAGUAAUGUGAAUUGCAGAAUUCAGUGAAUCAUCGAAUCUUUGAACGCACACUGCGCCCUUUGGUAUUCCGAAGGGCAUGCCUGUCCGAGCGUCAUUACAACCACUCAAGCCUCGGCUUGGCCUUGGGGUUCCCGGUCGCGGGGCUCUUAAAAUCAGUGGCGGCGCCUGCCGGCCCUGCGCGUAGUAAACCAACCUCGCGUCUGGGUCCGGCCGGUGUCCAGCCAGCCACCCCCCCCCCUCUUUUACAGGUUGACCUCGGAUCAGGUAGGGAUACCCGCUGAACUUAAGCAUAUCAAUAAGCGGAGGA
rnacentral:misc_RNA from 1 species